CUUCAUUGUAUUCUUCUGCAAUUGUUUACGUCUGGAUGGCGCAUGCCCCCGUUGUGCUUAUUUUCAAUUGUUUUCGGCAAAAUAUAUGGAUUAGAUCGAGCCGGGCAUUGUAAAUCGACCAAACAUCAUCCAAGUUUGCGAUAAUCUUGACAUUCUGAGGGACUCGAAAGGUAGAAGGCGAUAAUGGUUGUCUUCACUUCGUGCUGGUCGCCGUUCAUUUGGACAAACUCCGUCAAGACCGGGAGCUAUGCGAUUGCAUACUACACAGUGGCAAUAUCCGUGGUCCUGAUAACGAUGGUCUGCUACAUGCUCGCCGGGGGAGAGUCGACGCAGCUGUACUCCCCCUUGUUUGAGGCGGAUAUUCGGUUCUCGAUGCCACUUUUCGGGAGCAUUUUCAUCAUUUACUUCCUCUUUUUGAUUGUGUCCUCGUAUCUCUUGUACUACGGCAUCAAAACAUGCACGAGAGGAUGGAUGUUGCCGUGGAUGGGCCUGUUCGGGCUGGGCAUCUUGUUCCAGUUUGUUUUCGGUCUUUGGUUAAUUGGCGGCUACUAUAUUUAUCUGGACGCUACCUUCGCUGCCCUCGUUCUCUGGGCCUGGAUGAGCUACAACAUCUAUUGCUGGCUCUGCGUCUAUUCACAAUAUCAAAUAUUCGUUGAGAUCCAGAAUCCGAACAUAGAACUCCUGAUGCCGUGAAGACCCGCACAAAUCCCAAGUCGACAGGCAAAAAGCGCACAAAGAAUAGAAUUCGCUUUCGAGUCACCACCAUGAGUCUGUGAGACAUCAAACCACAUAUCCCGUAGAUUAUCACUUCUUAGAGAAUAUUUUUGUAGCUGAAAGUAGUUUUAGGCGGAACCUCAUCAUUCCCGACACUGAGUAACUUUAAGACUUAACGAUGCCGUCCCUAAUUGUAAUCUCGAUUUGCAGCACGUACGCUCCGGCCAGCGUAUGGAAUGUAAAUUUGAUCUUUCCAUUAAUGAAAGUGACAUAUUAUUUAAUAUUAUCAAAAGUACAAUAUUCUAAUUAUUGUUAGAGGAGUUUUUAUUAGACAAAGUAAAAAAAAU
rnacentral:misc_RNA from 1 species